ensembl:snRNA U6 U6 spliceosomal RNA
UUGACUUGGGCUGCAUUUUUAUGAAAACUGGAACAAUAUAGAGAAGAUUAGUACAAUCUCAGUGCAAGGAUGUUAUGCAAACUGAAAAAUCAUUAUACGUUUUG